rnacentral:rRNA from 1 species
UACAGAGGCCUCGAGCGUUAGGCGGAAUCACUGGGCUUAAAGCGUGUGUAGGCGGACUUCUAAGUACCUUGUGAAAUCCCACGGCUCACCCGUGGAACUGCUUGGUAUACUGGUUGUCUUGAGCCUUCUAGGGGCGAGUGGAACAAAUGGUGGAGCGGUGUAAUGCGUAGAUAUCAUUUGGAACGCCAAUGGUGAAAACAACUCGCUGGGGAAGUGCUGACGCUGAGACACGAAAGCCAGGGGAGCGAACGGG